GCAGAGCCAGUCCAGAGCCAGGAACUUCUUCCGGAUCUCCCAGUGCAUGAGGUGAAGGUCCAGAUGCAGGAAAGCCUGACCUUGCUGAGGAAGCCCUGCCUCUCCCACUCCACCUGAAGCUAAGAAUGCUGCACAGCCUUGUGAAGGUUUGAGCCUGGUUGCUCUCAGUUCCUCCCAGCGUGGAUGCGUUCCUGCCUUUCCCAGCCUGCAGGAGUCAGAGGGCGCUGUGCAAGCACACUGAGCCAAGGCCCAGUGGUGAUGGUGGCAGCAGUGGUUGGCCAUGGAUGAGGCUGGUGGCCCUGAGGAAGACUGCUGGCCCUGCACCUGAGGGAAGAGCUGUCAAAAGUCAAAAAGAAGGACUUUGAGCACUUGCUGAUGGAGGUGAUGCAGAUCUGGGACUUUCUGCUCCGGAUCCCCAAUUAGGAAGUCCUGGAGAGUUGCUCCAAGUUGAAGAUUGUCAACAAAUUGAGUCUCCCUGCAUCCCUAGUGGGCCUCAGCUCAGGGGUGUGUAAUUCAUUCAUUGCUGGUUCAGCCUAGAUGAGCAGCUACUAAGGAGUCCAGCAAGCAAGCAUUGCAUGCCACAUUCUCUCAGCCACUUCUUCAGUAGAGUUUUCUGGGUCCUGAUCUGUACAGAGGGACAGGCAAUGGGCAGGUUGUUCCUACAGUACCUGAGGAUGCUGGACAAAGAGCUCAUCCCCGUGGAUUUCUGUGGGGUUGCAAUAUACGUUCAGCCAUUACUUUUGUUCUCAUUUGCAUUUUUAUGUGGAGAAUUUUUCGAUAUGUGACGAAUGCAGUAUUGGUUCAGCCACGGAUUUGACUGAGAGCAGCUCCAUGGUGGAUGGGGACUGGACGGUGGUCGAGGAGAAUUUCUCCACGCUCAGUCUGACUCCGUCCGAGCUGGAGCACAUCUCCAUGGAGCUGGCAAGCAAAGGCCCUCAUAAAUCCCAGGUCCAGCUUCGGUACUUCCUGCAUAUUUUCAUGGAGGCCGGAUGUUUGGACUGGUGCAUUGUCAUUGGCCUGAUUCUGAGAGAAUCCUCAGUAAUCAACCAGAUUCUGGCUAUUAUACAGUCUUCAGAGGUGGAUGGAGAGAUGUUACAGAACAUUAAGAUGGGGCUCCGUGCUGUGGACCAGUGGGCCUCUACGGAUUGAUGCCUGCCUUGGCACAGCACGGGGACGCGCACGAGGGCCGUGGAAAGCGGAGUUCCGGGAUGUUGGUUUUGGUGCCGCGGGGGCCUCCAAAAGCCGUGGAAACUGAGUGUCAUAACACGUGAACGCCAAGGGUGUCUGCACCAAAACAAACCUUCUCCGGUUCCGUUCUCCAUGUCCGGCUUGGCAGCUCCCCUGCCCGUGUCAGCGUGAGCCGUUCUCCUUUACCGUUGGCAGCCCGUCAGACCCCAGUCCUAUCCGUGCAGGCUGUCCACACGGAGCGAGGGUGCCCGCUGGAGCGAGCUUUGUUCCUCCUAGAUCAGUGUGGGCACAGGCUGAGGAAUUCUCACCAAUUCUGCUGGUAGAUGCCACUAAACUGUUUUGUAUCAAAAAAUUGUACCUUUUUGUGAAUACUCUUGGUGUAAAUAAAUCCAAAGACACUACUCAUAUUUUUAGCACUUGUAUUAUAAUUUGUAAGGUUUUAUGCUGGAUUCCGCAUGCCUAUAAAUACUUAGAGAAUUAUAGCAACAGGGCUUGUUUUUCUUUCCCAAAAAGAGCGGUCUUCAUAAAGACAGACUCCUUAUUGGCUCAGCUGGUCAUAACAAAAUGCUCACACUGAUCAUGAAAUGGAACAGAUUUUUGUGCAAAUUAACAUAGUUUACUAUUUAUUGAUUUUGUAAAUGGAAUAAAAUGGACUUUUAUGUAAAUAGACUGCUGAACCUUAUCACGGCUACUAAAAAUUAGUCUGUAAAGAAUGCAUCCUUCAUUGUAAACUUUAGAGUAUUUUAUGUAUUUGUAGAUGACAAAUUUGUUUUCAUGUUGUGAAAACUGCAUAUUUCAUAAUUGGUUCAUACUAGUCACCUAUCCUCCACUGUAUCUAAUUACCUUAUAACAGUAUUCAUUUAGAUAGCUUGUUUGUACUGUGCAAUUUGAACAAGGAAUGCAAUGUUAUUUUUUACAAAAACUUAUUUUUGUAACAACAUAUUUGAUAUGGACCAAAUUCGUACCACUAUGUUUAAAAAAAAAAAAAAGCCUCUUCUCACAGUGCAAUUCCAGUUCAGAAACAAGGCCUGGUCCUCUCGCUGCCCUGGAAAGGAAAUACCCGGAUUCAGUUCUUAGCCCGUUUCCUUUGAAGGGAAUUGAAACUAUCUUGAAUUGUUUGGUUCAUAAUUCAUCAAACUCUUCAAAAUUACUGAUUUGGGGGAAUUGACUGUCAUUUACUUUUUACAUUAGAAGUGCAAUAAUUUCACACCAUAAAACUCCUAAUGGAUCAAAUAUGGUCUUAUUGGUACCUGGUCCUUCUGGUGCUACUGUUACUUAAGUCAGCUUCAAACCACCUUUCCCUGAAUGGCUGGAAGGUCAGUGUUUCCUGAAUGAGUCCAGGCAGCCCAGCCAGAAAAUAAACUGACCUCUCUUCUCCUGCCCCGGUCCGUCAGAGGGAACCAGCAUCACUGUCGUUUGCUGCAGAUCCUCAUUUAGUAACAGCUGCACACAGCUGGCUAGCUCACACCAUGCUGCCGCCGAGGUCACCCUGCGAGCAGCGCCCACAGGGUGACUCCUGCGGUGGAGGCCGUGAGCGAGUCCCUUCCUCUGUGAAAUGUUGGCUUUCAACUAAUAAAUAGGCCACAAGGGAAGAAAAUUGGUAAGUUUACAUGUUCUAUUUAUUAGAUACUUUGAAUUCUUUGAAAAACUCAUUUUUACCAUGUUGUUUGGUUCACAUCAAUUGUUUUAAGCCAUCAUUUUAACCAAGGAACUUAAAUAUUACUAUAACUA